rnacentral:rRNA from 1 species
GGRAUUGCCUUAGUAACGGCGAGUGAAGCGGCAAAAGCUCAAAUUUGAAAUCUGGUACCUUCGGUGCCCGCAGUUGUAAUUYGUAGAAGGUAACUUUGGGGCUGGUCCUYGUCUAUGUUCCUUGGAACAGGACGUCAUAGAGGGUGAGAAUCCCGUGUGGCGAGGAUCCCAGUUCUUUGUAAAGUGCUUUYGAAGAGUCGAGUUGUUUGGGAAUGCAGCUCUAAGUGGGUGGUAAAUUCCAUCUAAAGCUAAAUAUUGGCGAGAGACCGAUAGCGAACAAGUACAGUGAUGGAAAGAUGAAAAGAACUUUGAAAAGAGAGUGAAAAAGUACGUGAAAUUGUUGAAAGGGAAGGGCAUUUGAUCAGACAUGGUGUUUUGCGCCCUCUGCUCCUUGUGGGUGGGGGAAUCUCGCAGCUCACUGGGCCAGCAUCAGUUUUGGCGGCRGGAUAAAUCUGCAGGAAUGUAGCUUGCCUCGGWAAGUGUUAUAUCCUGGWARAAAUACUGCCAGCUGGRACUGAGGACUGCGACUUUACSUCAAGGAKGCUGGCAUA